rnacentral:rRNA from 1 species
GACGAACGCUGGCGGCGUGCCUAAUACAUGCAAGUAGAACGCACAGUUUAUACCGUAGCUUGCUACACCAUAGACUGUGAGUUGCGAACGGGUGAGUAACGCGUAGGUAACCUGCCUGGUAGCGGGGGAUAACUAUUGGAAACGAUAGUUAAUACCGCAUAAUAUUGAUUAUUGCAUGAUAAUUAAUUGAAAGGUGCAAUUGCACCACUACCAGAUGGACCUGCGUUGUAUUAGCUAGUAGGUGAGGUAACGGCUCACCUAGGCGACGAUACAUAGCCGACCUGAGAGGGUGAUCGGCCACACUGGGACUGAGACACGGCCCAGACUCCUACGGGAGGCAGCAGUAGGGAAUCUUCGGCAAUAGACGAAAGUCUGACCGAGCAACGCCGCGUGAGUGAAGAAGGUUUUCGGAUCGUAAAGCUCUGUUGUAAGAGAAGAACGGGUGUGAGAGUGGAAAGUUCACACUGUGACGGUAUCUUACCAGAAAGGGACGGCUAACUACGUG